GCUGGGUGUGGCAGCGGGCACCUGUAAUCCCAGCUACUUGGGAGGCUGAGGCAGGAGACUUGCUUGAAUCCAGGAGGCGGAGGUUGCGGUGAGCUGAGAUGGUGCCACUGCACUCCAGCCUGGGUGACAGAGCAAGACUCCGUCUCAG
rnacentral:SRP_RNA from 1 species